UACGAAGGGGGCUAGCGUUGCUCGGAAUCACUGGGCGUAAAGGGUGCGUAGGCGGGUCUUUAAGUCAGGGGGUGAAAUCCUGGAGCUCAACUCUAGAACUGCCUUUGAUACUGAGGAUCUUGAGUUCGGGAGAGGUGAGUGGAACUGCGAGUGUAGAGGUGAAAUUCGUAGAUAUUCGCAAGAACACCAGUGGCGAAGGCGGCUCACUGGCCCGAUACUGACGCUGAGGCACGAAAGCGUGGGGAGCAAACAGG
rnacentral:rRNA from 1 species